GACGAACGCUGGCGGCGUGCCUAAUACAUGCAAGUCGAGCGGACGGAUGGGAGCUUGCUCCCAGACCGUCAGCGGCGGUCGGGUGAGUAACACGUGGGCAACCUGCCUGUAAGACUGGGAUAACUCCGGGAAACCGGGGCUAAUACCGGAUAACUCUUUCCCUCACAUGAGGGAAAGCUGAAAGAUGGCAUCUCGCUAUCACUUACAGAUGGGCCCGCGGCGCAUUAGCUAGUUGGUGAGGUAACGGCUCACCAAGGCGACGAUGCGUAGCCGACCUGAGAGGGUGAUCGGCCACACUGGGACUGAGACACGGCCCAGACUCCUACGGGAGGCAGCAGUAGGGAAUCUUCCGCAAUGGACGAAAGUCUGACGGAGCAACGCCGCGUGAGUGAUGAAGGUUUUCGGAUCGUAAAACUCUGUUGUCAGGGAAGAACAAGUACCGGAGUAACUGCCGGUACCUUGACGGUACCUGACCAGAAAGCCACGGCUAACUACGUG
rnacentral:rRNA from 1 species